CUGCUGGGGGCUGAUGAAGUGGAUGUGCGCGUCGAUGCCGCCGGCGGUGGCGAUGAGGCCCUCGCCCGCGACGACCUCGGUCGACGGUCCCACCACCAUCCCCGGGGUGACGCCCGCCAUGACGUCGGGGUUGCCGGCCUUCCCGAUCCCGGCGA
rnacentral:ncRNA from 1 species